rnacentral:rRNA from 1 species
ACCUACGGGAGGCAGCAGUAGGGAAUCUUCCACAAUGGGCGAAAGCCUGAUGGAGCAACGCCGCGUGGGUGAAGAAGGUCUUCGGAUCGUAAACCCUGUUGUUAGAGAAGAAAGUGCGUGAGAGUAACUGUUCACGUUUCGACGGUAUCUAACCAGAAAGCCACGGCUAACUACGUGCCAGCAGCCGCGGUAAUACGUAGGUGGCAAGCGUUAUCCGGAUUUAUUGGGCGUAAAGGGAACGCAGGCGGUCUUUUAAGUCUGAUGUUAAAGCCUUCGGCUUAACCGGAGUAGUGCCUUGGAAACUG